UACAGGUGUGCUUGGUGAACAUAGGGCUGGGCACGCCUUUCAUCUCCUGGCUUGAUCUGAGGCCUCUCGGGGCGGCCAUGUACCCGGAGGCCACCCUGAAGCAGUCGCUGCUCCUGCUCAACCUUCGCAGGCCGGGAGCCAAAUACGCCUUGAACCGCUACCAUUUCUGGAGGCCGGCCACUUCCUAUGGAGUAUUCAGGUCACCAUCACUCUUUAAUAACGCCCUCUUUGAACGUCAAAACUCUCAGAAAAGCCAUCAGUACGUACGUCGAUCAUACACACAUCUUCUAAUUCUCUCACACCAACAGGUACCCGUCUGAUCCCUACGACCGCGUCUGGCAGAGCUACGGCGACGUCGCAGCAUGGACAAACAUAACAACGACGGCCGCCGUCAACGUCUCCAACGCCAGCAGCUUCGACGAGCCGUCGGUGGUGUUGCAGAGCGCCGCCACUCCGGUGAACGCCACGCGGCUCGACUUCUCAUGGACCUUGGACUCCUCCCUGUCGCCGAACAACGGCAACAGCAGCAGCACGGCUUACGUCCUGCUCAUGUACUUCGCUGAGCUGCAGCAGCUGCCAAGCGCCGCGCUGAGGCAGUUCAGCAUCCUCAUCAACGGUGCCUCGUGGAACAGCAGCCGGCGGAGCUACGCCCCGAAAUACCUUUCUGCAGAGAUUGUGAAGAUGGUGCUUGUGCAGGGGUCAGGCGAUCGCGCUGUCGUUUCUCUUGUCGCCACGCCUGAAGCGACGCUCCCGCCCAUCUUGAACGCGCUCGAGAUAUACUCGGUGCGGCAGAUGACUCAACUUAAGACGGACAAUGUAGACGGUAUCUAACACUGUAAUCUCUCUGUUACAUUGUCAACAAUCUUAACUAGCUCGGGUUAACAUUUACAAGUCCAGUUUUGAACUAUUAGGUUGGAUUGCAUGCAGAGCAGAACUUCAGGAAUCCAUCUUUUUUUCUUUCUGUAUGACAGCUGAGGCCAUGAUGACGAUCCGUACGACGUAUGCGCUGAAGAAGAACUGGAUUGGUGAUCCUUGUGCACCUAAAGAUUUUGCCUGGCAUGGCCUGAACUGUAGUUAUCCAUCAUCUGGCUCUGCACAGAUAAAAGCUUUGUAAGUUCUAGAAUUGCAAGCAUUGUAGUUAAUGCAUGCUUGCGCUGAAAGAUCGAAAAGCAAGCUUUAUCAUGCCUUGGUAUUAAUCUACUAUGGGAUUUGCUACAGAAAUUUGGCAUCUAAUGUGUUGACCGGUGCAAUUGAUCCUUCUUUUGGUCAUCUAAAAUCUCUACAACACUUGUAAGUGCCAAAUACCAUCAUCACACCAUUAAGAACCCCAUCAGUUUCUCGAAAUCAUACAUAACCUUGCUUUAAUAUUUAGCACCUAAUUUCGCUAACAGGAAUUUGAAGCAGCAUACAAUUUAAAUUUUACUCAUACAUAUCUGUUUUCUCAUAGCUAUUAGAAUAUUUCCAUAAGAAUUUUAAUUCCAGGGACUUGUCCACUAAUACCCUGUCGGGCCCAAUACCAGAUUUUCUAGCGCAAAUGCCAUCACUCACAUUCCUGUAAGUAUACUUAUUCACUUCACUUGGAAAUCUAUUGCAUCGGUAUAUUGAAAAUGUACUGGUUUUCACAGCGAUUUAUCAAACAACAAACUCAGUGGAUCAGUUCCUGCAGCUCUACUACAAAAGCAUCAAAAUGGAUCUCUUAUACUAAGGUUUGCAUGGCUUAACAGUUUAUAUUAUGAGGGUGUUUUUUGAACUUCCAGAUAAGUUCAGGGGGGGGGGGGGGUAAAGUGGACUUAAUUCUAUAUUUUACACCAAAAUGUAUGAGCCCACAGUUCCCUAAAUCCAGGUUCCUUUUAUAAGGACUGCAAAAUCUUUCCUCAAGGACCGUGUAGUCAAGGAAUUAAAUAAGAACAAUUACAACUAACUGACUUCAAAAAAGUACAGCUACUGCAUUUUAUUGCUCUAAAUGUAUUUAAUUCAGAUAUUUUGUUGCUCUAAUUAUAGAAUCGGUAACAACACAAAUAUCUGUGACAAUGGUGCUUCGACAUGUGAUCCAGACAAAAAGGAAAAGAACAGAACACUCGUCACUGCAAUAUCCGUAACAAUUCCUGUAGCAACUCUACUGUUUGUGGCAACAAUUCUUAUCCUUCGCAGAAGGAGAAAUAAACAAGGUAACAUUUCAUCAAGGAAAGCACUGAAUCUUAAGUAACUGAAGAUCAUUCAUAAAAGACAGGUUUGAUUCCAGACACAUGGAUGGCAAACAACGGUAGGCUUAGCGGCCCUCGGGAGAGGUACAACUUAUUUGAGAACGGACAAUUCAGCUACAAGGAACUGAAGCUCAUCACAGCUAACUUCAGAGAAGAAAUAGGGCGAGGAGGAUUUGGUGCCGUGUUUCUAGGUCAUUUGGAGAACGAACGUACAGUUGCCGUGAAGAUCUGUUCAAAAACAUCAUCUGAAGGGGAUAAAGAGUUUCUAGCUGAGGUAGGCUGUUCACCUGAAAUGCACCGUUUGUUUGCUUAAAACAAAUGUUCUUAUUCCAAAUUGCAGUGCAGGCUCAACACUUGGGUCGAGUUCAUCAUAGGAAUCUGGUUUCCUUGAUUGGUUAUUGCAAGGACAAGAAACAUCUGGGCCUUGUAUAUGAAUAUAUGCAUGGAGGAGACUUGGAGGACUGCUUAAGAGGUAAUGUCGUCUCUCCCAAUUAAAAAAAACUCAGCUGUGGGCUUUAGGCACAUCAUUAGUUCAACAAAGUUUUUGACUCUUUACUAAAAAUUGUGUGCAUUGUUUCAACUACUCUAAGCACAAUUGUCUAAGGGGAAAAAAUACAUCAUUCUACGUAAAGACACACUUCCCAGAGGAUGCAAUAAUUUUGAACAAACCAAAAUUUGGUGUGUAAUACUAUCAAUUGUUAUCUGAUCUAUUUUCUUUUCGCAACUGUGAGUGCUGCAAUCAUGUGUCCGCUCCAGUAUUAAGAAAUUGCUGGAGAAGGCAACCAAUUUCUUCGAAAAGAACGCUUUUAACAUGACAUAAACUGUGGCCAAACUACACCAAUAUAUCACAUGCUUUUCUUUGUCAGACUCUUACUGUUAUGCAUGGACCUUUUUAUGCCCAUAUUUUCUCGCAGGAGAGGCUUCUGUUGCUACACCCCUCAGUUGGCAUCGACGUCUCAAGAUUGCUAUCGACUCUGCCCAUGGUUUGUUGAAAAAUCACCUCUGAAACUUUGAUUGUAGUAGUAAGAGAAUGCAUCACCAUUUACAGGACUAGUUCUGAGUUUACUUGUACCACUUAAACCACAUACCUCUGACAAAUAUGGCUAACUUUACGUAAUUCUUAACCUAUCAUUAUCUACUCACUAGCUACUGGUCAUGGAUACAGGAUUGGAGUAUCUACAUAAGUCCUGCCAACCUCCACUGAUCCAUAGGGAUGUCAAGACGAAGAACAUCCUGCUAUCUGCUGACCUAGAGGCGAAGUUAUCCGACUUCGGCCUGACGACGGUGUUUGCCGACGAGUUCAUGACCCACAUCACCACCAAACCAGCAGGGACCCUGGGAUAUCUUGACCCUGAAUACUAUAAUACAGCCCGGCUGAGUGAGAAGAGUGACGUGUACAGCUUCGGAGUAGUACUACUUGAGCUCAUUACAGGUCAACCCCCAGCGCUCGCUAUCAGUGACACCGAGAGCAUCCAUAUAGCAGAGUGGGUGCGCCAGAAGCUCUCGGAGUCGGAGGGGAACAUCGAGAGCAUUGCUGACAUGAAGAUGGGGACAGAGUACGACAUCGACUCAGUCUGCAAGGUUACAGAGCUGGCACUGCAGUGCAAGGAGCGACCAUCACGAGAACGACCCACAAUGACAGAGGUUGUGGUUGAGCUUAAGGAGUGCUUGGAGCUGGAGGUGUCUCGUGGAAUGGGCAACUACAGCUCAGUCGCUAGCAGCGCAAACAGUCUCAGUGAAAUGAGCGCUGAGUUGCGUAGUGAUGCCCAAGGAAGUCAUCUAUGAAGGCUGUAAGCACUGGCUUCGUGUGAGAAAAUGGGGGUGCGUUUUCCAAAUGGAGCGAGACAUAUUAGCAUAUUGCAACUUAUCAACAACUCAUGCAAUAAUCGUUUAAACUGAGGGAAAAAGUUGAGCACAGACGUUAAAACAAAGGAAAUCAAGAAUCCACAACCUCUGCUCUAUCUUGAUGUGGUUUCCAGAUGUCUAAAAAAGUUCUAUGUGAGUAGUUUCUCUUUAUUACACUUACUGUUACCGAGAGGCAGUGACGAAAAUAAAUACUACGGUGUGAUACUUCAAGUUGAACAAAUCCAUGUUAUAACAAGGAUCCUUCUAAAUGAAUCUGGCAUAGCAUUGCGAACAGUGGUAAACAGAGAGGAUUCCUUAUCUGAAGUUACUCGCAUUUUUUUAUUAAUCAGAAGCUUGUUAUAUGUCUCUUUCUGUAGAGCAGUUUAGAGUCUGAAAUUCAUUUUCAUUUCCUUAUCAUUAUCGAUGCGGUUUCUCAGUUCAUCCUUAACGACAUACUCCCUUCACUACAUGGACAGCUAGAACGCACUCAAAUCUCUACAACAGAAAUAGUAUUUCUGACACAAACUUUGCUCAGUAGUACAAUGCAAAAUUGAACCUAAACAAAUAUCGGUUAGUCAGCUUAAUCGUCAAGAUCUGACCUGCUUCAAGGCCGAAGCACCGGCAUUUUUUGCGAGGGGGAGGAACCCUGAUGGUUAGCGCACGUCUUUAAUUUGUAGCAGAGCAGGACUCACCGGCCAUGGCGAUGGUGACGGCAGUUGAUGGAUCCGGUUGAACCACGCGCCCGUGGUCUUGUUGGGGUAGGCGACGGGAGGGGGAGGCGGACGCCCCGGGCGGCAACGGGGAGAAGCACCGGCGAGCGGCUGAGCGGCUGAGCGUGGGCAGGAGGAACAAGCGUUCAGAGAUGGGCCGAGAAAACUGCCCGGUCGAGAGAGCAUGUUGCUACAUUCUCGGCCGGCCCGCCGUAUCUUUGCUCGGCCCAAAAUCUUCCGUCUUAUCUGCACCUUCGGGCCCACUAGUUUUCCACGCGUUUAGCAGCUGGGCCCUGGUCUCGGGCUCUCGAGGUCAAACAAGCCGCCAUAGCAGUGGAAAAAAAAAGCAGUGGACCAGGGUCCGAGGACCAACAAAUGCAAUCCAGCUCGGUCGGUUGCUUCCGCUCGUCCAUAUGGCCUGGUUGUCUUCGCAGCUCAUCUGAGUUCACACCCCGAUCUAAGCUUGUGGGCGCAGCAUUCGGCAUUGGAUUAGGAGUCCCACCGGCUAACGAUACAUCGUGUUAAUGUUUUUUUAACUAGAGCAUGGAUGAUAAGGGGUCCUUUGGAACAAAGGAUUCCUGCUCCUCCGUCCAACAAAGGAUGUUUUAACAUUGUCCAAAUUUGAAUGCAUCUAUACACUAAGGUAGUGUUUGGUUCCAGAGUGACGUGGAAUGGAAUGGAACGGAACGGUUUGGUUGAAGGGAUGGAAUGGCUGUGGAUUUUGUUUGGUUGAGAAGAUGGAACGGAGUGGAAUCGUCGGUCGUUCUCGCUUCACGUUUUUCUUCACUGUCCGCUUCUUCCUCCUCUGGAGUAUGGAGCAUGUGUCGCUGCUCAAGAAAUCAAGAAAAUCGACUCCGUUCAAGACUUCAUGCUCCACUAACGAGAUCACAACUCCUCAAUUUUCCAAUUUCGUGUUUCAUUUCGACUGUAAUUCGGCUAUUGUCCGAGAGCCUUCUGCAUCUCAGCCGGACCGUGAGGUGAACGGGCACUUUUGGAGGACAGCACGAGGAGGUCCCCCACGGUGAUAUUUAUCCCUCCACUGCUCCUCCUUCGCGCCGGGCCGCCGCCGUCCUGCCAGCGUCCUCCCGCGCUGCUGCCAUCGCCCCGUGCCGCCGCUGCUCCGCCUCCAAAGCCGUCGUGCCCCCUUUGCCCCAUGUCGCCGUCCCGCCGUCGUCCCGCACCGCCUCCGUUGACCUGUGCCGCCGCGCCCUGCCGUCGCGCUGCCUUCCCUCUACAACCGUCGCGCUGCCUUCCCUCGUGUCGCCGACGUGCCAGACGUGCGAGCGCGAGAGAGCGCGUGCGGGAGGACAAGGACGGGCCCCACCAAUUCCACACGGAACCAGAUGAUUCCUCCAAAUAUGAGGAAUCGGUUCGUUCCGCAUCUCUUUGGAAUAUUCCAAUUUUUGGAACUAUAUGGUUCCAUUCUGAUUUGUCAUAUUCUACAAACCAAACGUUGGAACCAUCUUGAAAACUGGAACCAUUCUACUUCGUUCCACUUCAUUCUCUCAUCCAAACACAGCCUAAGUAUGUCUAGAUACAUCCAAAUUUUAACAAACUUGAAACAUUUUUUGUUGGACGGAGGGAGUAUAAGAUUUCUAAGGGAAAAGAAUUCCUUUAUCAAACGAUGGCAUGGAUGGUUGUGCUCACGGUUACAUACUAACCAAUAAGAUCAUAUCCAUGUCACUGAUUAUAUUUGUGUACUCCCUGCUUAUCAUAUUAAGUGAUUCAAAUUUGCCAAAAUAUAAACAUAUCUAUAUACUAAAAUACGUUGACAUGCAUGUAAUAUUUCGGCACUUAAUAUGUGACGGAGGGAGUAUUAGUCUUGUUUACUUUAUAGGAUGUUGCCAAUUACUGCUAUUUUGGUUCCUGCAUUUCAAAUGGUUUUUCUAUCCCAAUCCUAUGUUUUCAAUUCCCAUAAGAUUUCAGAUGCAUGUCAUGCUAAUUCCUGUAUUUUUUCUAUUCCUGUGUUUUUACUAUACUGCGUUCCAAACGGAGCCUAAUUCGAUCUAUCCCUUGUUCAAGAACAGUAACAAGAUAAUUUAAAAGUACGCUGCAGCUAAUUGUGUUCCUCGGGAACGCGAGGAUCUCGUGGGAAUUCCUUUUCUUGCGCCGGUGGUGGUAUCUCACCAGAAGUUUAGCCAGAAGAUGAAGCAAUGCACACCGAUAUGAUGGUCAAGAUUGACCGAAUUCCUUUAUCAAACCUACAUACCCACGACGUGUCGGGCAACCGCGCGCGUAGCACGUACGAUGCACGGCUCUUUUUGGCGCUCUGCUCACGGGGAUCACGCCGAUUAUUUCUCGCGAUCACACACACCACAACCACAAUCAUAUCAUACGGGCAUGCACAGGAGAAGCAGCGCCAGCUAGCGUUCUUGGCGAUUAGACUUUAGCGGGUUUAAUUAGCUAGCUUAGCCCCUGUCACGUCCGAUCGCCAGUCUCAUGACCCAUGCACAUGAUGUGAUCUUGCUGCCUGUAUUGCAAGCCGUCCAGAUUAAGGUGCAACUAAGCAACGUAACGUCCUUCUCGCGCAUUCACGUUUUCACGGCAAACGACCAUGACCCUGGCCCGGCACGUAGUGGCGUGUAGUCGCACGGAUGACGGAUGUUCCUUAGAACGGGCAAAGAGAAAGUUUUGUGGGCUCACUCAUGCUUGGCGGUGGACCUAACGUGCACCUUCAAAGAGGGCUCGAAAUUAAGUUCCCGUUUUACUGUCCUAAAUCCCAUCAAUUUGAGAUAAACCAAUUCGGUUUCUCAUGGAAACCGGGGAAGAGAAUUAACAACAAACCGUGGUCCAGAUGCAAAAUGGCUACUGCAAGCGAAGGAAUUUGUUGAUCAAUGGGAUCGAUCGGACUAGUGGUACGUACGUGUGGCGGUGCUCCUGUGGGGAAAUUUAGAUAGAGCAUCACAAGCUCGGAGUGAGCAGUCCACAUUGAUGGCGCCAUUAAUUCACUCACAUGUCCACACCUACCCCUCGGCGCCACACCUGGCCAUGCCGCAUUUCAGCUCAUCGCCCCCUUUCCCCCUUUCCGCUUUCGCUCAUCUGAGCCUGCCUUGUGGGCCGCCACGCAAGCCCUUCGCCUCUCCCGUGAAUCCGGGAGCGAGUGAACCAGGCCACCUAUAUAGCCGGCAGAGGAGGCUACGCGUCGCCCAGGACUGGACACCGGCCGUCGGAUGAGCUGAGCCUGGGGGGUCGACGACGACGAUGGCGUCGCCGCUGGGCAACGGAGAGCUGGCUGCUUCGGAGAGGAGGAAGGCGGCGGCGGCCGCGGGGAGGAGGCUGGCGGCGCUGCUGCUGCUCCUGCGGGUGGCGGCGCUGUGCUUCGCGCUGGCGGCGGCGGCGUUCGCGGCGACGGACGGCGCCGCGCUGCGGGGCAGCGCGGCGUUCCGGUUCCUGCUGGCGGCGAACGCCAUCGUGGCCGCGUACUCGGCGUUCGAGGUGGCCGCGGCGGCCUUCGAGCUCGCCCGCGCCGCCACGCUGCUCCCGGAGGCCUUGCAGCUCUGGUUCGACUUCGGCCACGACCAGGUACAUAAUUCCAUCGAAUGGAAUCAACCGAUUUGACUCCCUCUCGCUGCUCAGCUCAACGGCGCCCCCAAAUUUGCCCCCGUCCCCUUGUUUGAUGAUCACAAUUCGCACGAACGAUCAAGUUUAAUUUUGGGGCUGGUCGAUGAUGAGAGAGCAUGCAAUUGCAGGGAUUCGGGUACAUGGCGUUGGCGGCGGCGGCGGCGGCGGCGGCGGGGCGUGGAGCGGCGGCGGCGGCGUGCAGCGGGACGAUGGCGUGCCUGCAGGCGGACAUCGCGGUGGGGCUCGGGUUCGCGGCGUUCGCCUUCCUGGCGCUGGCGGCGCUCUUGUCGGGGUUCCGGCUCGCACGCUUCCUUCUCACCGGCUCCCGCCUCCCGGCCCCGGCUUCCCCUUCCUCCUCCGCGUAUUGAGCAGCCCAUUUUGGUAGCCGCCGGAUCGAGCAUAUAUAUACAUAGGCAUAGCAGUAGCGAGGCACGCGUGGUUCGGCAUGCACUGCUCUGAUAUCUUGGUUAUUCAGGGCUUCUGGUCUGGAGCGAUCAUCAGAUUCAGACAUAAUUUGCACUGUGCUUGCUGCCUGUCUGUAAUUGAGAGAGAAAGAGAGGAAGAAUCGCAGAGAUGGAUGUGUGUGUGAUGUGUUUGUAAGUAAGAGCGCCCGGGUUCAGGCGAUAUGAUAUAUAUGCAACGUGAUAUCAUUGAUAAGAGUGGCCAGAUUGUUAACUGUACCAACGAUUGAUAUGGAUGAUACUUACAGUUGCACUCCGUUAAUUUAUUUUAUUCGUUCGCUAUCUGAUGGAUCGAUACAAUCAAGGUUAACAGAGGCGACGAGAUCAUGGAUAAAACUAGAUAUCCAUUGUGGUCUUUCGAAAUCAAUGUCUCCUUGAACAAUUGUGUUCUUUCGAAGUAAACGUCUCUAAAUCUAUCCUUGGCACCUUGACACCCCUUAAACUGUCACCAUUCAACCAGAAAUUUGGAGAAAUAUCAAGAUGCAAACAGACACUAGAGAAGUUGGUUUCAAGAUUUUUAUGUAACUUUCGGUUUAUCCAAAAUCUUUGUUGUCGUUUUAGUUUUUCCGAUCAAAUGUAAUUUAUUAGUUGAAUAAAUAAAGCCAGAUCGCUGUUUAAAAAAAAAACGAGCACCGAGCACGAGCGCCGUGCCAUGGCUUGGCGUAUAAAAUCCAGCCAUUCUUCUCAAUUCUCAUCUCAUUCCCACCACCCAGCUGACAAGCUCAACUAGCUUAAGGUAGUAGCCAUGGCCACGAACCUCGCCAUCGCCGCGUUCCUCCUGGCCACUACUCUCUUCUCCUCCUCGUCGUCGGCGGCGAGGGAGACCAUCCUGACCAUCCACAACCUGUGCCCUUACCCGGUGUGGCCGCUCUUCACCCCCGACAGCGGCUUCCCAGCCCUCUGCGACCGCGUCGUGCGCCUCGUCCCCAACGGGGUCAUCUCCGUCCGCUUCCCGGACACCCCCUGGUCCGGCCGCGUCACGACGCGCACCGGCUGCGACGGCACCGGCCGCCCGCGGCUGCACUGCGCCACCGGCUCCGCGCCGCCCUCCACCGUGGCGCAGCUCAUGGUCCAUUACGGCGGGGUGGAGGACCGGGCCGUGUACAGCGUUUCCCUCGUGGACGGCUUCAACGUGCCCAUGGUGAUCACCCCGCAGGGCGGCGGCGGCACCGGCCACUGGCUGUGCACGCCGAUGGGGUGCGCCGUCGACCUCAACCGGGACUGCCCGCCGGACCAGCGCGCCAGCGGGGGAGCGGCCUGCCGUGGGCCCCGGGGGUAUUUUAAGGCGCUGUGCCCGGAGGCGAGGACGACGCCAGGCGACAGGGACCCCGUGCCCCAGAGCUGCCGCGCGCCCGAGGAGCUCAAGAUCGUCCUCUGCCAGCCGACGCCGACGCAGCCGUAAAAUGCUAGUCCACGGCGCCGCCACCGGCCGUCGUGGAAGCCGACAGCUAGAACUCGUUCUCCUUUUCUGUUCCCUUCUGCUCGCUUAAUUUGCUGCACUGCACCGUCGCUGUUUUAUUUGGGCCUAGACUCUAGAGCUCUGGCUUCGGAGUCCCGGUGUACACAUCCUAAGCAUAUGAGUUGAGCCAAAUAAAACUCAAUUAAUUCAACUGCGACCUACGUGGCUGUGCCACCCACGUCAUCUACCCCCACCGUAGGAACCACAUAUUUCGGAGAGAGUAUUAGAGAAAGAUGAUUAACAAAAAGGUAAUAUUUGUGGCAGGCUUAUUAAUGCUUUUGUAUCAGACUUUUCUUUUCCUUUUAGACUUGAUCAGUACCAUUUUUUUUGUAUUUUCUUUGCUUCUCUUUGUCCUCUCUUCUUUUGUUGCUCAAAUUUUGAAAGUCGAAAUAAUUUACUCAUGAGACAUAUUUUAGUGAAUCACGGUACAUGUACAACAAAUGACGGUACAUUGAUCGUUUCGUAAUGUACCCAUCGGUACUAACGAGAGUACAUGGCAGUACUCAAAUCACAGAAUGAACAUCUACCAAAAGAAGAUGAAUACCUCUUCAAUACUUAGUUGUACGUGAUGGUACUCAAAUCAAAGUACAUCAACUCAUAAUUGUACGUCAUGUACCGAGAAAUAAAAACACAAACAUUCAUCAAAUCAUAGUAUCUCGUCAUGUACGAUUCCAUCAAAAUUUAGUACCUCAUGUGUAAAUAGUGUGUACAUCAACUCAUAAUUGUACAUCAUGGACCAGAAAAAUAUCACAGCUCAAACAUUCAUCAAAAAUUAGUAUCUCGUCAUGUAUCCAUGGUACAUGAUGGUACUCAAAAAUUACAUCACAAAUAUGAUAAAUACCUUAUCAAUUUGUGAUGCGAGUACAUCGAUCCACAACAGAAAUACAUAGAAAAAAGGAAAUACGCAGCAAACUACGAACUUUUCAGCUAGCUAGUAGACAAAAGCAAGUACCAAAUACUCAUGUACCAAAUAGACGUGAACAAGAAAAAUGCAAGUACCAGGUAUGUACAUCAUGUACUCAUCCCAAAUAGUAGCACAUACAUCAAAUUCACACCAGAAAAUCCAAAAGGGACGAGGAGGACGCGGGGCCUGGCGAGGGAGAGCACGAAAUGGAGGCCGAGCACCGGGAGCAGCAGCUCGCAGCAUGGGGAGCAGAAGCUCGCGGACCAGCACCUCACGGCACAUAGAGCAGCAUUACGUGGAGCAGCAGCUCGGCGGGAGCCCGUCCCGUGCCGGACGGGGACGGGAUGGAGGAGGAGGAGGAGGGGCCGUGAGCGCCGCAGCAACGGAGCCGGUCUCCCCUGCCAUGACACUUGGGCUCUUGCUGGACAAAGAAAGAAGAAAGGGAGGAAAGAGAAUAGAGAACAUAGAGAGACGAGAGAGAAACGGGAGAGGAAAAACGUGGGUGUCAGGGAUUAGCCAAAAGUGCAGAGAGAUUAAGAAGUGGAAGUGGACACAUAUGUGGACAACACGGUGGGUGUAGAUAAGUGGGGUGGUACCGGGAGGUUUGACGCGCUUUGCAACAUCGAUCUCUCGAAACGAAAUCUUGGAAUACUGAAUAUAAUUGAUUGCAGCGAGAUCUGACAGUCUUCUCUUCAGUUAUCUAAAAACAGUUCUUACUAAACUAGUAUGCAUAUAUAAUUUUCUACGUUGCAUGGAAAUUAAAAUGCGUAGCUAAUGCCAAAGCUGCUUGGAUUAUAUGCGCUAUCGGUCGUAUACGAUCUGAACUGUUUGUUUCAUAAGCCUAAAUGAGAUCCGAUAUGAUAGGCCAAAGACCAAAGUCGUCAGGAUCGUUUUUUUUAGAGGAACAGUCCAAAGGAUCUAAAGCAGUACGUCCGGUGAAAUUUGGGCCUUAGUUAAUUUGAAUGGGCUCGCGUAUUGGACAAAAUGUUCAAUUUUUUUUUGGAGAAAUCAGUCGAAUUCAAAGAUCCAGACCCUGCAAGCUUUCUGUCAUCAAAUCCUCAUUGUUCCCUAAAAAAAAAUCCUCAUUGAAAUUUUGACACUCUUCAUUUUUUUCAAUUGCUGGUCGGUCCUGCUUUCGAUGAACAGCAAAAAAUUAAAAGCAACAGUACAACUGCAAUCUGAAACUGGAAGGCCUAUUGUAGGAGAAUUUGUUAACUUUCCAUUAACUUGUUAACUGGAAUAAGAAACACCUGCAACAAGCUAGAAACACUUCCAGGAUGCUCAUCACUGGUAUGAUGGCUGGCAGUUUCCUUUUCUCAUCAAAGUAGCAAGAUUGAAGAACACGGCAUGUGUACGUGAAAGAAGUUUGGCACUUCAGCAACUUUGCUUCCCGGAAUACGCGGCAGGCGGGAGGGAAGGAUCGAUAAGAAUCUGGUGGGACAAGCUGACUGAAGUUGCGAAGAAAGACAUCACAUUGGCGUCAUAUGUGAUCUGGAACAUUUGGAAAGAGAGGAAAAGAAGGAUUUUGAAGGAAAAAAAUGUAUCGAUGCGAAACCUGUGUUUUUUUUCGUUCUGGUUGUCUUAUAAGUUGUAUGGUUUCCCUCUUCUUAAUGCAACGACAGAGCUCCUAUCUUUUCCUAAAAAAAAAACGGCACGACCAAAGUUAGCAAUAUAGUUGUAGAGAUGAUUUCUGACGGAAAUUAUCUGUUUUAGGCAGCAGCGCCCAUUGGAGAAGAUCCAGUUUGACAUGCAACUCAUGUAUCUCACUCAUACGGCCCAAUAUUAAAUCUCGCACGGCCCACUCCAUUGAGCUCCCACGGUCCAAAUGCAAAUCUAUAAGGCUUCAAAGCACCGGGCCCAGGAUUUACGGAGCUUCUCGAAGACGACUCUGCUCAUGCCAUGCCAUGGCAUCGCCUAUAAAACCAGCCAGUGGUCUUCUCUCUCAUCACAUCUCACUCGCACCACCCAAAGCUCAAUUAGCUCAAGGCAGCCAAAGCCCAAAGGCAGCCAUGGCCAUGAACCUCGCAACCGUCGCGUUCCUCCUGGCCAGCACUCUCUUCUCCGCCUCGUCGUCGGAGGCGACCACGCUGACCAUCCACAACCUGUGCCCUUACCCGGUGUGGCCGCUCAUCGUCCCCAACUCCGGCUCCGGCGCCACCAGCCCCUUCUUCGACAACUCCGCGCGCCUCGACCCCAACGCGCUCGUAUCCCUCUGCUUCCCGGACACCGUCUGGUCUGGCCGCGUCACCGCGCGCACCGGCUGCGACGGCUCCGGCGCGACCUGCGGCACGGGAGCCGCGCCACCCUCCACCGUGGCGCAGCUCACGGUCCACGGCGACCAGGACCUGGCCGUGUACAGCGUCUCCCUCGUGGACGGCUUCAACGUGCCCAUGGUGAUCAGCCCGCAGGGCGGCGGCGUCGGCCAGUGCCCGCAGCUCGGGUGCGCCUUCGACCUCAACCGGAACUGCCCGCCGGAGCAGAGCGCCAAUGGGGGAGCCGCCUGCCGCGGGCCCCCAGGGUAUUUCAAGGUGCUGUGCCCGCAGACGAGGACGACGCCGGGCGACAAGGAGCCCCUGCCGCAGAACUGCCACGCGCCCGGGGAGCUCAAGAUCGUCCUCUGCCAGCCCUUCAUGCUAUCCCACGGCGCCGCCGUGGAAGCCGAUAGCUAGACCUCGCUUCUGUUCUCUUCUAUUCUCUUCUGCUCGCUUAACUCGCUGUUCUGCACCGAAGCUGUUUGGGUUCGUCGUCUCGGUGUACGUAUGAGUUGAGCCAAAUAAAACUCAAUAAUUGAACUGGGAGCUACUCGCUUUGGAACAUACAGUAUCUUGAAACGAAAUCUUGGAAUACUGAAUCUUAAUUCAUUGCGAGUAUAUGUAUAUCCCACAAUGCAGAGAGAUCUGGCAGAGUUCUCUCUUCAGUUAUCUACAACAUUUCUUACCAAACUAAUUGAAAUUUCAGCAACAUAAUUUGACCGAGCUUUGCACGACAGUAAUUAUGUUUGCUCACUACAUACUAUUUGAAACAACAAUAUUGAGUCCAUGAACCAGGUACAGAGAUGACCAUCAAGAAUGUUACUUUGUCAGGCUUUUACCAUGCAAAAUGAGAUCCGAUAGGCCAAAGUCGUCAGAAUCUGAAACAGCAGGCACGUCAGGUUGAAAACUGGGCCUUAGUUGCUUUGAAUCCUCUCGCGUAUUAAUUGGAUAAAUGUUCUAAACAAAAGAAUUGGAGAAAUCAGUCGAAUUCGAAGCACCUCAUUAGAAAUCAGUUGAAAACUGCACCUUGGUUAAUUAGGGACCUCCUCUUUGACAGAUCCCGCACGGCCGCACCUGCAAGCUUUCUGUCCUCAUUGACAUUACAUUCAGUUUUUUCAUUGCUGGCCGUUCCUGCUUUCGAUAAACAGCAAAAAUUGCAACAGUACAACUGCAAUCUGAAACUGGAAAGCUAUUGUCGGAGAAUUUGUUAACUUUCCAUUAAUUUGUUAACUGGAAUAAGAAGCCACUGCAACAAGAAACACUUGCAGAAGGCUCAUCACUGAUAUAAUGCCUGGCAGUUUCAUUUUUCUCAUCAAAAUAGCAAGAUUAAAGAACACGGCAUGAUCAAAGCUAGCAAGCUACCUUGCUAUAGACAUAAUAUAUUUUUAAAACCAAUCACAUCACGUCGUACACAAGAUGGGAAGGAUUUACCUAAAACGAAGGAUUAGACAUCCAUUUUUCUAGUUGAUUUUUUUUCCGACAAAAGAGGUUGAAACCCUCUCCUCUGCAUUAAAAAGAUGCAAUUUUAUUACUGUAUUAGAAGAUUAGGAUUUACCUUAGAUCUUAGACUUCGGUCAGGACAAAAAAGAACGAAGACGUUCCUCUAGCCUUUUUUUUUAGAAAAAAACAAUCCUCUAGCCUUUUUUUUGUUGAGAAAAAUUCAUUCAUCUAGCUUUUUUUUUUAGCAAAGUCAUUCCUCUAGCUUUUAAUUAGAAUCACCUGUAAUUUAUUCAGAUUUGACAUCCAUUACGGUAUAAUAAUUUGGAUAAAAACCCAAAAGACUAUAAAUUAACUCUUAUAACUAAAAAUUACAUUGAAAACUUUCAAAUAAAUCUUCUUAAUGGUAUCAAUCUUCGCAAUUCCUCUAGCUUUUUUUUUAGAACAAGCAAUUGCUCUAGCGUUUUUUUUUUUGAGAGGCGCAAUUCCUCUAGCUAGCUGAUUUGGGCAACAGCGUCCACUGCAGAAGAACCCUUUGACAUGCAGCCCAUGCAUGUCUCUCCUUCUUAUGGUCCUAUACCAGAUCUCCCGGAGGCCCACUGCAUUGCGCUCUCUCCCACGGGCCGACCACGAAGAUUCAACGCACCCUUUUUUCUUCCAUCGGGCCCAGGAAUUACGGAGCUUGUCGAAGACGACUCUGCCAUGGCUUCGCGGCCUUCGUCUAUAAAAGCCAACCAUUCUUGUCAUCUCAUCCUCACCACCCAGCUCAAUUAGCUCAAGCCAUCAGGCAUCAGCCAUGGCCAUGGCCCUCGCAAUCGCCGGCGCGUUCCUCCUGGCCAGCACUCUCUUCUUCUCCUCCGCGUCAUCACCACGCUGACCAUCCAGAAACCUGUGUCCUUACCCAGUCUGGCCGCUCAUCACCCCCAACACCGGCCUCCCCGCCAUCUCCGACAACGCCGCGCGCCUCGACGCCGACGCGCACCUCUCCGCCCCCUUCCCGUCCAACGCCUGGGCCGGCCGCGUCACCGCGCGCACCGGCUGCGACGGCGCCGCCGCCAACUGCGGCACGGGCGCCGCGCCGCCCGCCACCGUGGCGCAGAUCCAGGUCCACAACGGAAGGAACGCGGACGAGGCCGGGUACAGCGUCUCCCUCAUCGAGGGCUUCAACGUGCCCAUGGUGAUGGUGAUCAGCCAUCUGGGCGGCGGCUCCGGGCUGUGCCCGCCGCUGGGCUGCGCCGUCGACCUCAACCUCAACUGCCCGCCGGAGCAGCGCGCCGCCAAGGGAGCCGCGUGCCGUGGCCCCCCGGGGUAUUUCAAGGACCGGUGCCCGCUGACGAGGACGACGGCACCGGACAAGGAGCCCAGGGCCCAGAGCUGCCGCGCGCCAGGGGAGCUCAAGAUCGUCCUCUGCCAGAAGACGGUGGACCCGUCCAUGCUCCAAGGCGCCGCCGCCGACAGGGUCAUGGCGCCGUCGUGGGAGACGACAGCUAGACCUCUCUUCUGUUCCCUUCUGCUCGCAUGUUUGGGUUUAGACUUUUGAGCUCUGGCUUCGUCGUCUGUACUCCCCGGUGUACGCCCUAAGCAUGUGAGUUAGGCCUGAAUAAUUGAACUGUGAGUUACUACUCACUUUGGAACACUCUCUAGAAAUGAAGUGAGUAGUAAUUAUGUUUUCUCACAUGGUACUAUUUGAAAGAAAAAAAUCUAAUGGGUGCAAAACUGCAAAAGCCAGGUUCAAUACUGAGUCCGUGAACCAGGUACAGAGAUGGCCAUCAAGAAUAUGACUUCAUCAAGCUGUUGACAUGCAUAUAAACUUUGCUUCGUCGUUGCAUAGUGUCGGGGGAUGACCCCGGGUAAGUUCAUGACGACACGCUCUAGCCGAGAUGACGAAAGUAAAACCGGCAUCGUAAAGCUAAGUUAACACUAAGCCGGCAUACCGGGUGUAUGCCGGCAUGACUAUAUUGUCUUAUGAAUUUGCAGGAUAAGGACGAGCUCCUUGAUCUCGGCCCGGGCCGAGAUCCUUCAACGGUCUUAUCCUGACCACGCAGCGCAAAGAAAAGCAGCGUCAUCAUUAUCACGAGAAAAGCAGUCGCCACUUACGUAGCGGUGCCAGGCGACUGCACAAAAGAAGCACCGAAAGAGAAUUUCUGACGGGAGCCGGCAGAGGUCAACAGUACUUGUUGCAGGAUGCCAGGGAAAGUAAAAUUGUCUUGUCCCCUGCGGUGCCACCCGGAGGGAACCAAGCCUCGUGCCCGGCAGGGCCCAAGGAAGAUGACGUUUGUACUCGGCCCACAUGUCAGCAAGUGACGAAUGCCGAGAGCGUGAGAAUGGCAUUCGCCGGAAGAUGGUGUGGCUGGAGGCCGAAGAAGUCUAAGAAAUUCCUAAGGAAAUCGCUGGCCGGGAGGGCAAAGCCGCGUUCAAAGUGAGCGAGAAACACUACAUGCUCACCAGGCUCCGGGGUCGGCACAGUCUCGUCGCUGGAAUCCGGCACUCCACGUCCUCCGGAAUCCGCCGGGAAUGGCGGAGCCACGCAACGUCCGCCAGGGAGACGUCGGAGCCCUCCCAGCCGGCUCGCUCCGAGCCCGUCCUCUCUUCCAUCUGCUGAGCAGCCAGUUUCGGGAAGAAGAAGCCAUGGUUGGGAGCAGAUCUAGGGUUUGCUGUUUUCGGUGAGAGGAUGCUCGCGCGAGGCUUGGGCCAGCAAGAAAGUGCGGCGGAGACUCAAGCGAGCGCGAGAGAGCUUGCGGCUGCGAGUUUGGUGGCGGAGAGCUAAAGACCGCGGCGGCGGAGGAGCUUCGGGCUGGCAGCAAUGGCGGAGUGCGCGGGGAGCAAAGAGGCAGAGGAAUGCGAGGAGGACGAGGAGUGUGAAGGGUUUUUACCCUCCCCCUCCCCCUUUACUUAUACCCGCGGUGCAGUAAACAGGGCGCGUAUCCCCCGCGCCCACGAUCCCAGUGGCCAACGGGAAGAACGCGCACGAUGUUGGGGCCGUUAACCCCAUUAAAGCGCACGCGCUCGAUUAUCGCAUGGCGUGGCGCCGAGAAUCCCGCAGGAUUCGGGAGGAUAAGUGUCUCUGUGGGAACAGAAAUUCCCCUCUUAAUGGCUCUGUCGGCUUUACUGCCCGACGGGACGACGCGCUCGCCUCAAAAAGCGCAGCGGCAGUAACUCGAGUCUUAUCCUCCCGUUAUUUUAUAGAAGCGCAGACUACAAGCAACAGAUGGCAUCAAUGUCGGCAGAAGGAAGUUUUCUACUGUCGGCCAUGGAGGAGAAAGGAAUCUCGGUCAAGGGCUGAUUAGGCAGGCCGACUCGGUAUGUCGGGUUAACUUGAUCUCGGCUAAGAGAACUCGGAGUUGUCUCGGCAUCCUCUUCGGCUGAACCCUUGUAGGCUUUGGUGGUUUGUCUAUGGAAAACUGUCGUGGCCCGACAUUCUUCCCUGCCGGACCGCAACAGCUUCGGAGACUAGUGUCGGGGGGAUGACCCCGGGUAGGGUCCUGACGACAUGCUCUAGCCGAGAUGACGAAGGCAAAGCCGGCAUGGUCAAGUAUGCCGACAUCGUAAAGCUAAGUUAACACUAAGCCGGCAUGACUAUCUUGUCUUAUGAACUUGCAGCAUAAGGACGAGCCCCUUAAUCUCGGCCCGGGCCGAGAUCCUUCAACGGUCUUAUCCUGACCACGCGGCACAAAGAAAAGCAGCGUCAUCAUUAUCGUGGGAAAACUAGUGGCCACUUAUGUAGCGGUGUCAGGCGACUGCACAAAAGAAGCACCGAAAGAGAAUUUCUGACGGGAGCCGGCAGAGGUCAAUAGUACUUGUUGCAUGAUGCCAGGAAAAGUAAAGUUGUCUUGUCUCCUGCGGUGCCACCCGGAGGGAACCAAGCCUCGUGCCCGGCGGGGCCCAAGGAAGGUGACGUUUGUACUCGGCCCACAUGUCAGUGUGACAUGGGAGGCCUAUAAAUAGAGCACCACCCCUCUGUGGAAAGAGAGGGCACUUAGUCGUCUAGGGUUUCCCCUUCUUCUUCUUCUUUUUUCUCAAGAAUACAACUCAAGGAGCGCCAUCGUAAGAGCUGGUCUAUCUCGGCUAAUAAAAAAAGUAGGAGUAGGAGUCUUACCUUGGCAAGAGGGCUCCGAACCUGGGUAAAUCGCGGUCUGCUUGUGUGUUUGUGCGAGUUUCCCUUCACGACCUCCCUCCUCCGGUUCCUCCUUCGUCCAUCGGCCCCAAGUUAAGCCAUCCUAUGGCAUCUGCCGUGACACCACCACGGCAGUUGGCGCCCACCAUGGGGCCAGCAGCGGUGCUGGCUAGAGUCUUCAUCCAGACGGGAAGUUUUCUUGCCACCGAGAGCGCGUGGUCUCCGGUUUGGUCCAGAGAUUCGGCUCUCUGGGCUUCAUCGACAACAACGCGGGCUGCUUCAACGACGCACCGCUUCCCUGCGCGGGCCGCUUCAUGAGGUUUAUGUUGCUACUGACAGCCCUGCAGGUACCCAGAGCAGGUGGUGGUGGUUGAAGACCCCCCCGCCGUUUGCACGGUUCCCGGCCGGCAUGUUGACUGCCCCGCUGACCGUGUGGAAGUCAUGGUGACGGCUCAUGGUGCCGAUGCUGGAAGGGACGCUGCGGGAAGUGGAGCGGUCCCAACCAAAUCCGGCAGAACGGCGAAGCUCCCCUUGGAGAAGCCGGAAAAUAUUGUUGCUCAAGCCGGCACGUCGGCCCUACCACCGAAGCGAACUCAGCUCCAGGCCUCCAUCGAACGGCUAACUGCACCGGUGGCGUCGAACACUAACCCGGCCUAGCUGCAGGCGGAGCUGGAGUUGGAGCGACAAAAACUGCUGAAGGAAGCUGUUGACGUCGCUCACGCGCGGGAACAACUUGAUAUUUUGCUCCGUGAGUAUAACAAAGCACAUGGUCUUAGUUCUACUGCGUUUACUAACCCUAGCCGAGUUGGGGAGGUGCGUAACCGUGGCAAGAACUUGAACGCCGAGAUGACUAGAGAUGGCAGGGGUGUGCCGGCAGUGUUAGCAAGUUUGCCUCGGCUGCUGAGGCUGCAGCCGAAGAGUUGCCGAAUCUUACAGGAGAGGCACUCCGGUAGCAUCAGCUGCACGUGAAAGAGCUGCUCCGCACAGCUAAUGAGCAGAAUGAGGCAUACAUGAGAAUGCACGGCAAGCCCGGUGCAUCUCAGGUUAUUCACUCGGCAGCAGAUGCUGGAGGCCGAGUUGACAAGCAAGUCUCUUCGCCUGGUGGCAAGCGAGACAAAAGUGUCAAUUCUGGCCGGGAUAAGCAGCUGGAGCGUUAUGACCCGGCCCUGGCCGAGAAACAGAUGAUCAGAAGGGUUGAUGACAGCUAGAGUGGCCUACGUCCCGGCGACAAUCGCCGAGACCAGCAAGAACGUUCCUCGUUUGAUCAUGGACACCGACCUCAGGGUCCGGCACCCAAUACUGCUGCAGGUCAGCAGGGUGUCGGGCGCAACCCCCCGUAUCGAGGUGAAGAUCGUCGGUAUGACCGUUACGAUGAUGGAUACUCGGCCAUGGGUGACGAGGGUUAAUAUCAGGCGAGAGCGUGAUAAUCUCGGCCCGCUCGGAGCCCGAGUUGGGAACAGGCAAGUGUUGCCCCUGGAUGCCCGACAUCGGCUUGACAUAAUUUAUCUGUCUGAGCUUCUGGAGGAGCAAGGCCCUCCAGGACCGCGUUGUUUUGCGCAUCGGAUCAUGAGGGAGAGACUAGCCUCGGGUUUCCAGCUGCCCAGGGUUACGAGAACAUAUGACGGCAGUACUAAGCCGGAAGAUUGGCUGGAAGACUAUGUCACUGCAGUAAGCGUGGCAGGCGGCAACCGCAGAUGGGCGGUACGUUAUGUACACCAGAUGCUGGUAGGGCCGGCAAGGAUAUGGCUGAGCAAUUUGCCGGAAGGCAGCAUCAAUUGCUGGAUAGACUUUGAAGAAGCUUUUGUCAGCAAUUUCACUAGCACUUACAAGAGGCCAAAUCGCCCUCAGCAGUUGUCCAUGUGCAAGCAAAGAGACAACGAGACUGACCGGGAUUACCUGACAAGAUGGAACAAUCUACGCAAUUCCUGUGAAGGGAUAGUGGAAUCGCAAGCCAUAGUGUGGUUUGCCCAAGGAUGCCGGCACGGCAGCAUGUUACGGCAAAAGCUGCAAAAAGAAAUGCCGGCUACCCUAUCUGAGAUGAUCCGGAUCGCCGACAUGUAUGCGCUUGGCGAUCCGACUUAGCCAUCGUUGAUGCCGGCAGAACCGCAAAGGGAGCAGCCAACAUACAAUCCUGCCGGGGUAUUCCGGAGGAAUGAUCAUCAAGAUCACCGCAACAAGAGAAGGGAUGACAGGGCGGAUUACCGAUAUGGGCCAGCCCAUGUCACCGCUAUUCAGGAUCAACCUGAUGCCGGUUCCAGCCAACGUCAGAAAACAGGAAAUCAGCAGUGGGUCAAGAAGGGAGAACAAGAUAUCCCGGGAUAUGCCGGAAGAAAUGAGUACAAGGAGUGUCACCAAAACUACAUGAUCUUCAUCACUGAGCCGACUGACAAGCAAAGUCAGCACAGGCGAGAGAUGGAGGUCAAUGCUGUAAUGCCGGUUGUUCCGAAGUUCAUGUACUGGUCGGAGCAAGAGAUCAACUGGAGCCGAGCAGACCAUCCCAAGGUUAUGCCCAACCCCGGUGGAUACGCUUUGGUGGUUGACCCGACACUCAUCGGGCCCGACAUUAACGUCAAGUUCACUCGGGUUCUCAUUGAUAAUGGGAGCAGCAUAAAUAUCUUGUACCGGGACACGAUAAUUAAACUCGGCAUUACUGAUAACAUGCUUGAGCCUAGCCGUACUACCUUUCACGGUAUUGUGCCGGGAGUGUCUUCUGCCCCGGUAGGCAAGAUCCGAGUCGACGUCCUAUUCGGCACCAGGGAGAACUGUCGGACCGAGAACCUAGUGUUCGAGGUGGUGGACCUUAGCAGUCCGUACACGCGCUGCUUGGAAGACCGGCACUCGCCAAGUUCAUGGCGACUACUCACAUUGGCUAUCUGAAGAUGAAGAUGCCGGGAUCAAAUGGUACCAAAACCAUCACUGGCAACUACAAACACUCAAUGGAGUGCGCAGCGGCUGGAUCUGCUUUGGCCGAGUCACUGGUCAUCGCUGGCGAGAAGAAGAAGUUACAAGAAGCUGUUGCAAUGGCUCAGGUGGCACAAAUUGGCCUGCCGGCUAUGACCAAUCCCCAUGGAAGUGUGGUUGUUCAGGCAGCCAAGGAGACAAAGAAGGUACAGGUUGACAGCGAGUUCUCGGACCGCACCGUCAUCAUUGGUGCCGACCUGGGUGAAAAAUAGGAAGGCGAGCUCACCAGCUUCCUCCGUGAGACUGGGGACAUCUUCGCAUGUUCAAAUUAAGACCUGCCGGGUGUGCCGAGGGAGUUGGCUGAGCACUCAUUACAUGUCAGACCAGAUGCAAGACAGGUGAAGCAGCCCCUUCGAUGCUUCGCCGAAGACAGAAGGAAAGUCAUAUCGGAAGAGAAAUCCCGUCUUCUAGCUGCCGGCUUUAUCACGGAUGUGUUGCAUCCUCACUGGCUAGCAAACCCGGUCAUGGUUGAGAAGAAGAAAGACGACCCAACUUCUGCCAAGGUGUGGCGCAUGUGUAUCGACUACACCAGCCUGAACAAGGCGUGUCCCAAAGAUCCUUUUCCGUUACCUCGGAUUGAUCAAGUGAUCGAUUCUAUAGCCGAGUGUGAGUUGCUGUCUUUUGUAGAUGCGUACUUUGGUUUUCACUAGACACUGUUGAACCCUAAUGAUCAAAUAAAGACAUCAUUUAUCACCCCGUUCGGGUCUUAUUGUUAUCGCACUAUGCCGUUUGGUUUGAGAAAUGCGGGGGCUUCUUAUCAAAGAUGCAUGCAGAACUGCUUGCACGACCAACUCAACAAAAAUGUGCAGGUAUAUGUCGACGAUGUCGUCAUAAAAACCAAGGAAAGCGCCACGCUUCUGGAUGAUAUCCGGGAAACAUUCGCAAAUCUGAGGAGAUUCCGGAUGAAGCUGAACCCGGCCAAAUGCACAUUCGGUGUGCCGGCAGGGAAGUUGCUUGGAUUCAUGGUAUCAAGCCGAGGUAUCGAAACAAAUCACGUGAAAAUUGCCACCAUAGAAAGAAUGAAACUGCCGAAAUGACUCAAAAAUGUACAAAAAUUCACUGGAUGCUUAGCAUCACUAAGUCGCUUCGUUAGUCGACUGGGUGAAAAGGCAAUGCCCUUAUACCAGCUGAUGAAGAAACCGUCAAAUUUAUGUGGACGCAACAGCCAGACGUGGCUUUUCAAGAGCCUGAAGAAGAUGAUUUCUACGGCACCAAUAUUAGCCUCGCCAAUGGAGAAGGAGCCAAUGCUGUUAUACAUAGCAACAACGAACCAAGUCGUUAGUGCCAUCAUCAUGGUGGAAAGAGAUGAAGAUGACAAAUCCGUGCAAAGGCCGGUAUAUUACUUGAGCGAGGUGCUAUCGUCGUCUAAGCAAAAUUACCCCCAUUACCAGAAAAUGGCGUAUGACGUGUAUAUGGCGGCAAAGAAACUGAAGCAUUACUUUGAGGCACAUCGGAUCCGAGUUAUAUGCAAGGCGCCCGUCUCGGAAAUCAUGAGUAAUAAAGACGCGAGCGGCUGGGUCACAAAGUGGGCUGUCGAGUUAGCACCCUAUGCACUGCAGUACGACAGACGGGAUGCCGUGAAAUCUUAGGCUCUAGCGGAUUUCUUGGUGGAUUGGGCCGAGAUGGUAGUCCGGCAAGCUUCCGGCAAUUGGGAUGCAUUGGAUGCCAAUAUGGCGCAAUACAUUUUCCAUGUUCAAAGAUCAGUGGCCACUUCGAAGGGCAUAUACCGCGGGCGGAGAACGAAGCAGCCGACACAUGGUCAAAACUCGGCUCAACACGACAGGCCAUUCCAGCUGGUGUGGCAUUGGAACAUUUACGCUAACCAUCCAUCAAGCCAUCGCCAAAGUCGGAGUCAAUCUUUAUCGCAGCGAGCUCUGAAGCUGACGUCACCCCCAUGAACAUUGACAGUGGCAGCGGUUCUGGUAACCCGGAGACUGAGCGCCUUAACUCGGCAGAAGCAAUGGCGGUUGAGCCAAUGGAGAUAGACGUACCGAAUGAGCCGAUUUUACCACUCGUCCCGUGCUGGCUUGGGCACAACCGAUAAUGUCCUACCUAAAAGAUAGGAGUCUCCCGGAAGAGGAGGUGUCGGCAAGGCAAAUUCAGAGAAGGGCGAAGGCGUACACCAUCAUCAAUGGCGAGUUAUACAAGAGGAGUGUCACUAAUGUACUACAACGAUGCGUUGAGCCGAAAGAAGGGCAAGAGAUACUCCAGGAUAUUCAUCAGGGAGUGUGUGGACAUCAUGCAUCUUCAAGAACGCUAGUGGGCAAGGCAUUCCGGCAUGGUUUCUACUGGCCAAAUGCACUACAGGAAGCAGAAGACAUAGCCAGGAAGUGCAACGGCUGCCAGAGGUAUGCCAGCAAAAUUCAUAUGCCGGCAUCCGAACUCAAGACUAUUCCAAUCACUUGGCCGUUUGCGGUUUGGUGUUUGGAUAUGGUGGGACCUUUCAAGCGGGCGCGAGGAGGCAUGACGCAUAUCUUGGUCAUGGCCGACAAGUUCACCAAAUGGAUUGAGAUAAAGCCGAUCCGAAAGUGUGACGGCAAGACCGCGUUGUCAUUCCUGAAGGACAUCAUCUUGAGAUAUGGGUACCCGCACAGUGUUAUCACGCAUAAUGGAACGAACUUCGCGGAGGGACCUUUCGCGCGGUUUUGUGCGGAAAAGAAAAUCCGGCUGGAUAUCGCUUCUGUGGCACACCCUCAGUCCAACGGACAAGUUGAAAGGGCAAACGGUAUGGUUUUAGCCGGCAUAAAACCUCGGCUGAUUGAACCACUGGAACGUACUCCGGGAUGCUGGCUGGAUGAACUCCCAGCUGUGCUAUGGAGUCUCAGGACGACUCCCAAUCGCUCUACAGGCAAUAUGCCAUUCUUCCUCGUAUACGGGGCGGAAGCUGUCUUACCAGCCGACAUUGAACAUGACUCCCCGCAAGUGACCAUGUAUACCGAAGCCGAGGUAAAGGAGGCCCGAGAAAAUGAUGUUGACCUGCUCGAAGAAGCACGGGAGUUAGCUCUAUCUCGCUCGGCCAUCUAUCAAUAGUACCUAAGGCAUUAUCACAGCCGAAAGGUCAGUCCGCGAGUAUUCCGGGAAGGAGACCUCGUUCUCCGACUUGUGCAGCGCACAGCCGGCAUGCACAAACUGUCACCCCCAUGGAAAGGACCCUUCAUCGUGAGCAAAGCGCUUCACAAUGAUUCCUACUAUCUUAUAGAUGUGCAAGAUCCCAAGGCGAACAGGAUGGACCGAUCAGGCGAGGAGACCAAGAGGCCAUGGAACGUGGCUUUGCUUCGUCCGUUCUAUACUUGAGAGAUGAGUAUUUAUAUCGUUUUCUCCUUAUGUUGAAUGUUUUAAGACAAUGAAAUUGUUCUCCAGGUUCUCAAAAGGAACUUGGGGACUUCCAUGUUAUUUAAAUGAUGUGUUGCAAUUAUCUUUUGUAUUUCGGCAUGGCUUACUUGUGUAAUCUUAUGUCGCUUUAGUAGUGUGUCGGUCUCGAAAAUCCCCUCUAUGACUUCGCUGCUGUCCGCAACCCGGCUUCAUGGCAAGCUAGAGACGGUAUGAGAUAACCGAACACAUGAAAAGCGAUUGCGGAAACAAACAAAGAAGCGACCCGAAAUGUGCAUUGUCUUAACCCGGCAUUUCUUUUUUAACUCGGGUAUUGCUAACGAAUUCGUCGAACGCUGUCGUAGCACGGGGCUUUGCCACCGGGGAUGCACGGACACCCCCUUUUUGGUUCAGCAGUGGGCGACGGGGAUCGCUCCGGCGAUCGCCGGCGAGGCCAAUGCGAAGCGUGCCAACACACGAUGAACACGAGCGCGCGUUUUUACCCAAGUUCGAGCCAUCCGAAGGUGUAAAAUCCUAUGUCCUGCUUGUCUAAGCUAGUAUUGACAGGAGAACAAGUGUUUACAGGUUGCCGGGGGGAGCCCCCGGUUGCUCUCUUUUUGGCUAAGUGUCCUUUGAUACUUUGGGCUACUGCUAGCGUGGUACUACGAGUUGGUCCAGCGAACCCUUUGACCGUUGACGGGGGUCCUCCUUUUAUAGCCAAGGGGAUACCACAAGUGCCACGGUGCAUGGUCUACAAGUGGUGAGCAGGGAGCUCGGGCAGCUCCUCCUCAAUGUGCUGGCACAUGCAAGAGUAGUAGCCCUGUAACUAGGGGUCUAAAGGUCUAAAAACUACUCUUGAGCAGUCACUGUUUGCUUGACUUGAUGGGGAUUCCCCUUUCUGUCAGUUCAUUAAAUGCGCCGUGCGCCUCACUCCUUCUCCUGACGAACCCUGCACAUAGGGUGCCUGCCGUGCGCCCACGUGGCGUCGCUGUUCUGCUUGCUCAGUCCCGCUCUCGUAACGGAAACCUGCGCCCGGGAAUGCCCCUCCCGGCAAGUAGCUUCUCGGGAGGCUCCCAGGCGGGAAUUCUCCCCCGAAGCCCCACUAGUCCUGCCGGGCUGGUAGCUUGCCGGACAGCUUGUACACUAUUGCCCGGGGUGUGAUCCUCCUGGGGAGCAAGCGAGGCGACCCACGCGUCGUGCAGCGGUGGUACCCCGGGUGCCACUGGUGCGACAAACGCCGAUAAGGCAGACAAAAGAACCGGGGUCAUAAAAUUUCACUGAAAGGAAAAAUGUACUCGGGGAAUCGGUUGGGAAUUUGAUAAGCAAAAGACUUAUAUAAAUUAAAAAUAUGAUGUCUUACAAACAAAAGUAUGUUAACCCGGUUACAUAUGCACCUGGCAUUCCGGGGAUCUGAUAAUUUUCAAGUUCUUUUUGCUGACAUGACUAAGAAGAGAUGGAGGGAUUGUUGGCGCCAGAAUUCGGAGCAUCCGUGGCGUUGGACGCCGACUCGACGACAAUCUCUUCAUCGACUGCUUCUUCUUCGUCUUCGUCGGCCAUCUCGGCCUCUGCCUCGGAUGUCGGGCCCUCCACAAACUUAUGCACAUCGGCAUACUGAAUGAAGGAAUAGGCCCGCUCUUUGCCCUUGGCGAUCAACGCAGGAUCCGAGAGAUAGGGGGAUCCGACUCGCAUCGACUGCAGCAUUGAGGUGUCGUACCAAGAUAGUACGAACGACAACGCCUCGUCGGCGCCGACGCAUGCGGCUGACUCCCGCCAAUCAUUGAGGUGAUCCUCCACCUCGAGAAGCCACGUCGCCAGUUCCGGGAUGCCGGUCGGAGCCUCUUCUCUCUGCCAUAGAGCUCGGAAGGCCCGGAUGCCUGCGUUCAACAUAUUAACCCCGAACGACUUCAGAGGCUUUACCCGGCUAAAAAUGCUGACCAGAUAAUCCACUAAAUCAUAUUCGAAGGGGGUUGUUCCGGCUGGAUCCCUCUUCCUGCACACCUUGAUCAUGGCAGCUUGGGCGGUCUCGACUGAUUGUGGGAAUUUUUUUGACAAAAGCACAAAAAAUAGUAAUGAGUCUCGGCAUCCUGUUACUAUUACUCGGUGAUCAGAUGAAGAAAUUUGUGUCAGGGCAGCUUACUAGUCAGCAUAUUGUUGAUCUUGACGACCUCAUGCCGAACAACCUUAAGCAGCCGGGUCUUCUCAGUAUCCUCCUUCUCGGCGGCAGUGGCGCGGGUCUCGAUCUCGGCGACCAGACCCUUGCAUUUCUGCACCUCGCUCUCCAGGCAGAUCUUUUCAUCGGCCUGGGUAGAGAGGGCCGAGGUGAGUUGACCCACCUCAGUCUUAUGCGCCUCCGUCUGCGCCGUGACUUGUGCCUGCAGCCGGGCCACUUCCUUCCGAUGCUGCUCGGCUAGCCGAGUCUUCUCAUCUGUGUAGCAGACAUAUAUUACAGAAGCUAGAGUUUAAAGUGGAUGGAGCUUGAAUAAGGAUAGGAUGAUACCUUGGACUUUGGCGACGCGCUUCAGGAGCUCCGCCACUUGAGCAUUGUCCCCGGCUGUGAACAAGAGCACGUGUUAGGUUUCGCAACGCAUUGAUACUCGAACAAAGGUUUUAUGGCAGUAAAAUAUAUUUACUCUGGCUCUCGCGAUCGGCUUUCAAGGCCUCAUGCUCCGCCUCCAACUUCUUGUACUUUGCUAGCAAAGUCUUGAAGGUGGCGGUGCGCUUAUUUAUGCAGGACUGCAGAACGAUGAUUCACCGAUAAGUUUAUGCCAGUAAGAAGUCAACAACUAUUCGCUUCAGGCCGACUAUUCUAAACCCGGCCUGAAUCUCGGGGAAUAUGUGUUUUAAGUUUCUAAAGCUUCAGGCUGAUUAUUCUAAACCCGGCCUGAAUCUCGGGGAAUAAGGGUUUGAAGUUUCUAAACCUUCAGGCCAACUAUUCUAAACCCGGCCUGAAUUUCGGGGAAUAAGUGUUUGAAGUUUCUAAGUGUUGCAGACUGUUUGAAGUUUUAAGGGGAUAAGCUUCAGGCCGACUAAUUCUUACUCGCCCUAAACCUCGGGGACUAGGAGUAUGAAUACUAUACUGGAAUUAAAAGUAAAAUCUUUUAAGGAAUUCUUCGUGCCUCUGCAGAUCGGGUGGCCUCAAACAAGCCACCUUUGCUUGGUAUAUCCGGGCAGACACCGAUUCUGGAGUCGCUGCAGGUGGAGGUCCCACCAAGGGGCUUUGCCGCGCUGACUGGAGGGUGCUGGAGGUCAUCUCAUAGUUGUCGGCGCUGUUCCAGUCCAUUACGAACUGGCCCAGCGACCCCCAGCUGUGCCCGCUGGUCGUCCUGAGGGGAACUCCCUGGUGCCUCCGGGUAGGCUGCGGGUUGGAAGAAUCUGGAGGCGCUGAUCCCGCCGGGAUAGCAGAGCCCUUAGCCUUCUUGGCUUUUGCCACAGCAAGCUGAGUAGCUUCCGGCUGCGGUGGUGACGAUGGCGGCGUCAGAGUCGGCUGUGGUCCUUUGGGUUCUUGGGGCCCCGUUGCCGGUUGUUGUGGUGUCUCCGUGACCUGCGGCUCCAACGAAGUCUCAGCCGUUGCCGAGGAAGGAGCAGCACCGACUGCCGAGGUCCCGGCCGCGGGCAUCCCGGCUGGGACGUGUCGGAUCCGCAGCAGUCUUGGUCUCACCCCUGGCCUGGUUUGCAACCUCGGCGCGGGGAGAUGGAGCCGCCGGGAUCUCAGACACGAUACACGUCUGAGAUUGCGUGGCCGUCAUAGCCGCCCUGUAGAAGUAAAAGUUAGUCAUCUGCGUGACAAUAAAGAAGAAAACUGACAUCAAGGAUCGAGAUAGUGUUAGCCUUACCUGGCGAUCAGGGGUUUUGGCUUGGGUCCACGGCAAGCAGUCUUCUUCCGCUUAACAGUCUGCGGAAGAUCCUUCUCGGCGGCGCGCUUUGGGAUGGCGCGCCUCUCUCGGCCCGAUGCCUCAAUGGCAGCCGGACGCGACGUCUCCGCGGCAGCAGGCUCGUCCGAUUCGACUGUUCCCGGAACAGUGCAAGUGUAAGUAUCUUGAUGAGGAAUGUUCUAAGGAUUAUGAGAAGAUAACGGAGAUCCUUACAUUCGACGCGACGAGGGCCGGCAUGGGCUAUCGGCAUGUGGUUCUCUGAAUCCGGAUCCUCAUGAUCGAUGGUCCUGCGCGGGACCGCGAAGCGUUUGUCCAGGGAUUUCCCGUCUUCGUUGCUUUGACGGGCGAACCUCUGCACAAAAGAAUCAAGUGCCGCCGAGUUAUGUCUUAAUCAAAGUAAAGCCAGUAUAACCAUAUGUCGGAUGAGAAUAGAAGAUACAUAUAAACAAAAAACUUACCGGGGGCGCACGGUGCUUCUGGCUGUAUGCCGGCAUACCCCAGUUCCAGCGCUCCGGCAUGCUGGUCUUCGCAAUUGCUUUAACCCGGCGCCGGACUUCAACCUGGUCAAGCCGGACGGUCGACACCCGGUCCGGGUCGAACUGACGCCGUAGAAGCACAUUUUGUGUAACUGGCGCUGAAGUGGGCACAGCCACCGGUAUACAAAAGUCACCAAUAGAUCAUCGGUCGUCAUCCCCUCCUCCUUGAGCUCGAGGAUGCCGGCAUGGAUUUCGUUGAUCUCGGCGUUGGUCUCCUUCGGAUCGAACGUCCAGUUUUUCUUCUCCUCCGGCGGGCUGACUACAAAUUCCGGCAAGUUGAUCUUGUCAGCUUCGGAGGAGUUCUUGACGUAGAAGAAGGUCUUGAGCCAUUUUUUACAAGACUCAAGACCUUGAAUCCAGAGAAACACCAAACCCCGGCGAGGUAUGACAGUGGCGGCGCCGCACUGGGUCAUCGGCUUAGCGGCGCCAGGAUUUUCUUUGUCGGGAAGAACUUGGGGCCGGAACAUGAAGUACCUGGCCCACAAGUCUACGGAAGGCCAGAGGCCGAGAUAGGACUCACAGCAAGUGACGAAUACCGAGAGCGUGAGAAUGGCAUUCGCCAAAAGAUGGUGUGGCUGGAGGCCGAAAAAGUCUAAGAAAUUUCUAAGGAAAUCGCUGGCCGGGAGGGCAAAGCCGCGUUCAAAGUGAGCGAGAAACACUACAUGCUCACCAGGCUCCGGGGUCGGCACAGUCUCGUCGCGGGAAUCCGGCACUCCACGUCCUCCGGAAUCCGCCGAGAACGGCGGAGCCACGCAACGUCCGCCGGGGAGACGUCGGAGCUCUCCUAGCCGGCUCGCUCCAAGCCUGUCCUCUCUUCCAUCUGUUGAGCAGCAGAGUCGACGGCGGCGGGGUUUCGGGAAGAAGAACCCAUGGUUGGGAGCAGAUCUAGGGUUUGCUGUUUUCGGUGAGAGGAUGCUCGCGCGAGGCUCGGGCGAGCAAGGAAGUGCAGCAGAGACUCAAGCGAGCGCGAGAGAGCUUGCGGCUGCAAGUUCGGUGGCGGAGAGCUAAAGACCGCAGCGGCGGAGGACCUUCGGGCUGGCGGCAAUGGCGGAGUGCGCCGGGAGCAAAGAGGCAGAGGAAUGUGAGGAGGACGAGGAGUGUGAAGGGUUUUUACCCUCCCCCUCCCCCUUUACUUAUACGGGGACGUAUCAUGUGCAUCUAGAGGAUUUGUACAUCCGUGCAUCCGGCCAUACUCGACCAUCCGAUUAAAUCACAGGGACAACAGGGCAACCGAGACUAAUUUGCACUUGCACGCCCGCCUGGACAUGUUGACUCCUUGAAUAAACGCCCCCGUGCGAUCACUCCAAGCCAUCCAUGUUUGGGUAGACAGUGGAGGCUUCAUCCCAGAGACAAUAUGGUUAAAACGAGUAAAAUCUCAGAUGUUCAAGAACUCAUAUUUGAGACUGAGACCAUUCAUUAACCAGUCCUUCGCGGCGAGGCGAGUGCCUAUCGAUGCAUCAGGACGUACGAAGGACCAUAUCUCCUUCAUCGAAAUCUCUAGCCUGAAUAAGUGUUGAGAUCACAGGGCACCUAAUGCAACAUCGAUAACUUGUGGGGUGGGCAAUGGCUGGCCGAAGCCGAGGUACGGAAGUGCGUCCGCAUACCGGAUGUAUGUCGGCAUGACUAUCUUGUUUUAUGAAUUUGCAAGAUAAGGACGAGCCCCUUAAUCUCGGUCCGGGCCGAGAUCUUUCAACGGUUUUAUUCUGACCACGCGGCGCAAAGAAAAGCAGCGUCAUCAUUAUCACGGGAAAAGCAGUCGUCGUUUACGUAGCGGUGCCAGGCGACUGCACAAAAGAAGCACCGAAAGAGAAUAUCUGACAUGAGCCGGCAGAGGACAACAGUACUUGCUGCAGGAUGCCAGGGAAAGUAAAGUUGUCUUGUCUCCUGCGGUACCACCGGGAGGGAACCAAACCUCGUGCCUGGCGGGGCCCAAAAAAGGUGACGUUUGUACUCGGCCCACAUGUAAGUGUGACAUGGGCAGCCUAUAAAUAGAGCACUACCCCUCUGUGAAAAGAGAGGGCACUUAGUCGUUUAGCGUUUCCCCUUCUUUUCUUCUUCUUCUUCUUCCUCCUCCUCAAGAAUACAGCUCAAGGAGCACCGUUGUAAGAGUUGGUCUAUCUCGGCUAAUAAAAAAAACAGGAGUAGGAGUCUUUCUCGGCAAGAGGGUUCCGAACCUGAGUAAAUCGCGGUGUGCUUGUGUGUUUGUGCGUGUUUCCCUUCACGCCCUCUCUCCUCCGGUUGCUCUUUCGUCCAUCGGCCCCAAGUUAAGCCAUCCUAUGGCAUCUGUCGUGACACCACAAGCACCUGAAAACUGGGCCUAGUUAAUUUGAGUGAUGUCGUGUAUUGGAUAAAUAGUUCUAAAAGAGAGAAUUGGAGAAAUCAGUCGAAUUCAAAGCACCUUAUUAGAAACCAGUUGAAAACUGCGCUUUGUUAAUUAGCGACCUCCUCCAGACCAAGCCCCUGCAAGCUUUCUGUCCGCAUUGACAUUCCAUUCAGUUUUACCAUUUCUGGCCGUGCUUCCUUUCGACAAACAACAAAAAUUGCAACACUUCAAUAGUGCGAUCUGAAACUGGAAAGCCAAUUGUCAGAGAAUUUAUUAACUUUCCAUUCAUUUGUCAACUCGGCAUGAUCAAAAUAGCAGUUUCAAAGAACUUUUAGAUCCCUACUUUCUGGUCCGUUCAUCUGGCCCAUUAAGAUCCACAAUUUGGCCCAGUAUAUGCCUUUUGCGGUACUUUCUUGAGCUUUUUAAGGUAGGUUCAAAGUUUUUUUUAUUUAAAAAGCGGCUACGCAUCUUAGUGGCAGCAUUUUUCAGCCGAUAAGAAAGCUGCUGUGUUAAGCAAUUUACCGUUUCUCUAAAACAAGGAAUUUUUCAUGAAAAAUAGGCAUCAUAUAUUCAUAUCAUCUAAGAAAUGUGACAAGAAAUGAUGAUUGUGAAUAAAAGAAUUGCAUAAGUGCAUAUUACAUAACCAGGUCCAACUUUCAAAUUAAAGCCAGGAAUUUUUUAGGCCUAGCGGGAGAAAGUAACGCUAUUUUCCUCCCCAAUUUAGCGUUGUAGCACGAUUUAGCAAACUAUUAGCGGUACUAGUUUCUAUAAAAUGUUAAAAGUGCAUACUUUUAAUGGGAGUGGCCCGGAUCUACAGCUAUCCUAUAGCGCUGAGAUAGAUGAACAUGCUAUUUAAAAACUUUGGGUAGGCUUCCGCUAAACCUCCUCCGUUGAUCUAGAAUUUUUUUGACAAAAUGCCACACUUUUUUUGGAAUUUGCCACAAACGCACACGUUUUCCUGUCUUAGACAAGAUAAACACUUUUUUCUUUGGAACAUGGACAGAAUAGCAUUUUUUUACCCGCUUUUUCCAUCCGGACCCACAUGUCAGGACGAAAUUGCCCCUGCCCCUUCGCAUACUUGUGGUUUCAUGGAUUCCAAAAUAAGAGAAGAGGCAUCUUCAUUUUCAUGUCUUCCGUAGAGUUCAAUAUCCUAAAUAAAAGAGCUCAAUAUGUUCUCAAGUAAAAGUGAGUCCAUAUCUCACUACAAACAGACUAAGCACAAUACUCAUAAGUUCAAACAGAUUAAAUCACAAAAUAAGGAGAUCUCCAGAAACAGCGGAAUGCCAUAGCACAACGUGAGGCCAAAAUCCUCAUUGUCCAGUGCAUGCUGCAUAUUGCUCUGUUCUUCCUUUUUGGUGUAAUCUUCUUUGAAGCCGUCACAACAGGCCUAGGUGGAGAAAUAGGUGUUUCCGAAGCUCCGUCCAAUGCCAUUGCAACUUGCAAGAGCAAGUUGGCUGCGUAAUACACCAAUUUUAUCCAUAUAAAUAUAGCUAAUUGAAUAGAAGAAUUUGAAUAAAGCAUUAUUUUGUACCUCCUUGUGAUAGGACCAGGGAUGUCUUGUAUGACAGCCAGUGCAGAUAUGCCUCGAACAGGAGUUCCAAUAGCAACUUGGCUGCAUAAUCCAACAAUUAAUGUUUUGUAUGAAAAAUCUCGUGUAUCAAAAGAAAGCGAACAGAAUCAUCAAUCCUUUACCUCCUUGUGACAGGACCAGGACUGUUUUGUACAAUAGCCAAUGGAGUUGUGCCUCAAACAGGUGUUUUAAGAGCAACUUUACCGCAAAAUUUAACAAUGUUUUGGAUGCGACAAUGCAUCUCACUACCUCCUUGUGGCAGGACCGGGGCUUCUUUGUAUGAUAUCCAAUGAAGUUGUGUCUCGAGGGGGGCUGUUUUUUUAGGGAUCUAGGCUCUAGCUUUGUUUUGUUUUUUAAGGGGAAUCUGGGCUCUAGCUUUUUUUUCCUUUUGAGAGGAAGAUCAAGGCUCUAGCUGAUUUGGGCAGCAGCGCCCAUUGGAGAAGACCACGUUUAACAUGCAGCCCAUCGAUCUCCCUCUUUUGGUCCGAUACUAAAUCUCCCCACGGCCCACUGCAUUGCGCUCGCACGGGCCAACUUUAAAGUGCGUUGUUUCUUCAAACCACCGGCCCAGGAAUUAUACCAGACCCGGAAACUACAGAGCUUCUCAAAGACGACUCUGCCCCCACAUGGCUUCGCUUAUAAAAACCAGCCAGCCAUUCUACCCAGUCCCCACCAGCUCAAUUAGCUCAAGCCAUCAGCCAUGGCCAUGAACCGCGCCAUCGCCUGCGCGCUCCUCCUCGCCACUCUCUUCGCCUGCUCGUCGGCGACCACGCUGACCAUCCACAACCUGUGCCCGUACCCGGUGUGGCCGCUCAUCACCCCCAACACGGGCCUCCCCGCCAUCUCCGACAACGCCGCGCGCCUCGACACCAACGCGCUCCUCUCCGUCCGCUUCCCCUCCACCGCCUGGGCCGGCCGCGUCACCGCGCGCACCAGCUGCGACUCCGGCGGCGGCGGCGGCCCGCGUAACUGCGGCUCCGGCGCCGCGCCGCCCUCCACCGUGGCGCAGCUCCAGGUCCACCAAGGCGGGAGCGCGGACGCGGCCGGCUACAGCGUCUCCCUCGUCGACGGCUUCAACGUGCCCAUGGUGAUCAGCCCGCAGGGCGGCGGCUCCGGCCAGUGCCCGGCCCUGGGCUGCGCCGUCGACCUCAACUGCGACUGCGACCCCGACCAGCGCGCCGCCGAGGGAGCCGCGUGCCGUGGCCCCCCGGAGUACUUCAAGUCCCGGUGCAAGCUGACGAGGACGACUCCCACCGACGUUGAGCCCGUGCCGCAGAGCUGCCGCGCGCCAGGGGAGCUCAAGAUCGUCCUCUGCCAGACGUCCAUGCUAGCAGCCCACGGCGCCGCCGCCGACACGCUCGUCGGCACCGUCGUGGAAGCCGACAGCUAGACCUCUGUUCCUCUCUGUUCUGCUCGCUUCAUUCGCUGUACUGCAGUGCACCGUGGCUGUUUGUGUUUAGACUUUUGAGCUCUGGCUUCGUCGGUCUGUACUCUCGGUGUACGCCCUAAGCAUAUGGGUUAAGACAAAUAAUUGAACAGUGAGUUACUCACUUAAUUUGGAACAUCUCUUGAAACGAAAUCUUGAAAUGCUGCAUCUUAAUUGAUUGCAGGUAUGUCAUGCUCACGAUGCAGAGAGAUCUGACAGACUGUUGUCCAAAAACACUUACUGAACUAAUUGCAAUUUCAGCAACAUAAUUUGACCCCAGCUUUGCAUAGAAAUUAUGUUCGAUCGCGUACUCUUCGGAAAAUCAGAAGGGGAGCAAAAGCUAGAGUCAAUAUUGAGUCCAUGGUUCGUAAAAAAAAAAUACUAUUGAGUCCAUGAACCAGGUACAGAGAUGGGCAUUAUGACUUUAUCAAGCUUUUGGCAUGCGUAGAUGCUUUGCUUCGUUGCAUAGAAAAAUUAAAGUGCUUAGCUAAAGCCAAAGUUAGAUCCCAAGCCAAAGUGGUUAACUAAAGCCAAAGCUGCAUGGUUAUAUGCGCUUUCCAUCAACUACAAUCUGAAUUGUUUGUUUCAUAUGCCAAAAGUGAGAUGUCAGAGCCUAAAGUGGCACGUCGGGCUGAAACUGGGCCUUAGUUAAUUUGAAUGGUCUCGCGUAUUGGAUAAAUUGUUCUAAAAAAGUGAAUCGGAGAAAUAAGUCGAAUUUAAGGCACCUCAUUAGAAAUCAGAUUAGUAUUGGGCUUGGUUAAUGAGCGACAUCCCCGUUGACAGAUCCAGCCCUGCAAGCCUUUUGUCCUCAUUGCAAUUCCAUUAGAUGAGCGUUUUUCCGAUACCCUUAAAUUAAUUUGGUGCGUCCAUUGACUGAAAUCUAACGGGUACGGUUUAUUUGUACUCCAGCACAUGAUUAGGGAGUACCACUUUAGAAAAUUGAGGAGUAUCAAGUUUGGAGGGGUAUAAUUGUAAUCAUGGGUAAUUAGUUAGGCAAUUACGUAUAUGCAAUACGUGGAUCAAAUCUUCCUUUUUCGGGUAAAUACGUGGAUCAAUACAGCCAUUGGUAUCCAACAUCAAGACAUGCCCAGCUUGUUUAAACCUAAAGCGCCGGGAAUUGAGAAUUUCUCCGUUUCAGUUUUGCUCUUUCCGGUUUGCGCUCAUUCUUCCCAUCAUCAAACGUUUAUCGGGUUGUAUGCGUGAUCCUUCCUCGACUGAAACUAUCUAGAUCAAUCCAUUCUGUCAAAAAAAAAUCGAGAUCGAUCCUUAUCAACGAGUUAAAGGAUGAUGCCAAUUAUCGAGUUAAAGGAAGCUGCCAAUUAUCUAGAUCGAUCCUGAUUAACAUGUGAUUAGAUCGAUCCUAAUAACAUAUGAUUAGACAGUUGCGUCGAAAUUGUCGUGUUCGCGGGCGGCUCCCUGAUGAUCAGGGUGAAGACGACCAUGGAUGCUAAAGCAAAGAUCUCAGCAAUCAUGGCGCGGCAGCGGCGCGCUGCACCGGGAGGAAAUCCCUCAACUAGGAAUUGCAUGGGAGAGAUGGCAGCUGCGGAUGCAUCAACUGCGAUCAAGCGACAAGAAUCAUGCCUAAUCAAUUCGGAGUAAUUAAAUUCUGGAAUGUAUAGAUUAAAUUAGAUUCUUCAAAUAUUUACUAUCCUUUUCCCCACAACAAUCGGCCAGAGGGGGAUGAGAGAUGACCGUAGUCUAAAUUAGCAAGUGCAUUAUCUAAACAAAAAAACUAAAUUACCCUUUUAAAUGGAUGGCUAGAUUUGUCUGGUACUCCAACCAUCCUUAUGGAGUACCUAGGGUACUGUAAAAAUCCUCUCAGUUUUUCCAUUGCUGGCCAUUCCUGCUUUCGAUAAACUACAUAAGUUGCAACAGAACUGCAAUCUGAAACUGGAAAGCCUAUUGUCGGAGAAUUUUUUACCUUCCCAUUAAUUUGCCAACUGAAACAAGAGACAGUUGCAGAAAUCUCAUCACUGAUAUGGUGGCUGGCAGUUUCCUUUUCUCAUCAAAAUAGCAAGAGUAAAGAACACGGCAUGAUCAAAUCUAGCAAGCUACGUAACCAAUAGCAGUUUUCAAAAUAAAUAUGCCACCUUAUCCUUGCUACGGACAGAAUCAAUUUCUAACACCAACCACAUCACAUCAUAGGAAAGAGAGCAAUGAUGUACCACAGACGAAGGAUUGAACUUUCAUUUUUGCUAGUUGAUGCCUGAAAUACAUUUUCAUAUGCAUUUUCCUACAAUCAACCUUCUCGUGCUACAAAAAAGCAAGCAAAAGCUAGUGUGCCAUUUGGUUCAUGAGUUAUGACUGAUUUUGACUCUUUGCACAAUAGACUGCUCCCUCGGAUCCAUAAUAAUUGUCUCAGAUUUUGUAUUUAGUACAAAGUUGUACUAAAUUUGAGACACUUAUUAUGGAUGAGAGGGAAUACAAGAUAAAGAAUGACAAGUGGAUAAGGAUCACACCAUUAACUGUUAAGAGGAUAGAUAAUCUGAAAUAUGUCUUUGCAGGAUAGAUUUUACAUAUGCAUGGCUACAUGAUCUUAUGUAAGUGUGGCAUGUUUUCAUCUGAUGCGACAGUGCUCCACCUCCAACAUGAAUUUCUGGUAGAAAAAAACACAUAAAUUGUUAAUUAAGAUGACAACAUAGAACAAAGAAAAGACGUUGUUGGAGAGACGUGUUUGAGUCGCUGGAAUUUAUUCAGACUAAAAGGCAACACAUGGCAAUGACAUUAUAGACAGAACAACAACGCCAGCCUAAAACACCAAUUAAUGCUUUAUUUAUGUUUGUUUGGUGAUUUCUUCAGCCCUUUUUGGCAUCUUUUACCAACAAUCGAGCCCAAGUUCAUUGCAUCCUCUGUAAAAUCAAGACAAUAACUUCAUAAUUAGAUAUCCCUUAGUUACAUGAAUGUAAAGAAACAUCUAUAGGAAGUGUCUGCGUGCCUUCAGAGACAAAAUUAUUAUGCUAUCAAUCCCUCAAGUUCAUUACUGACAAAACAUAGUACUAUAUAUGAACAGUAGCUAAUUUAAGUUGGACUUUGAGUUGUACCCGCUAACACCAAGACAUCCGACUUUUGUUGUUUUCAGAUGUUCUAGUUCAGAUUCGUUUUGAAAUUUCACGACAAGAUUUUUUUGAUAUGUAUUGUAUCCAUGUUGUACAGAAGUCUUAGGUUUUCUUACAAGUUUUGUUAUGUGUUUCUUAAGCUUGGGCACACCUGGCCACAAAGCUUGGGGGCACAUGAUGAUAUCUCUUGCGAGUGACGACGGCUAGUAGGAGUGAUGAUAUCUCUUGGGGGCACAUGAUGCUAUCUCUUACUGGGCUGGGCUGUGCACUUGUACGUGGUGGCCCAGGUGCUACCACGACUUGACUCUAUUUCUUCUUCUUUUUCGCACGACUAUACUAGAGACUAUUCUCAAAAAAAAAGAGACUAUACUAGAGACUAGAACCAACGUGCUAUCUGCUAUGUGUCGAGCCAGGAGCCAUCCUUUUAUGCUGUUUUUACAGCCGUACACUCUAGGAGUACUACAGUAAAGAUCUGGCGCGUCAGGUGUUGCCACGGCUUUUUCAUAUCUCACUGCCGACAUGGUCGCCAAUCAGUACGCGAGAUUUCCUGCUUUAUGCAAGGAGGACAUAUGUCGACGGUCUGAGGUGACUGGGCUUAAAUUUUUGAAUGCUCUCGAACGUCGCGGCUUAAUUUUUGAAUGUCACUUCCGACAUGUCGACAGUGUGUCACCAACUGCGCAUCGAGAAAGUAACUAUAUUCGUUUACGCCUAAUCAAGUGCCACUGAUACGUGCAUACUGCAUCGGAAUGUCACAUCUAUUGUGCAGACGACUCGUUAUCGGCAUCAGCACGAUAUCCAAAGCUAUUGCUUUAUUUUCUUUCAAAAAGUUUUUGCUUUAUUAUUAAGAGCAUGUCCAGGAAAUUAUCCAUGCCGGCUAUAUUUUUUAGCUUGAUGGCAAAAAAAUUACUCCCUCUAUCCCAUAGUAUUAAGUGACGAGAUAUUGCAUGUGUUAAAUUUUUUUGGACGUAGAUACAUCACUUAAUAGAGCCAAAAAAUGUUGUUAGCUUGGGCCAAACAUGAUCUCAAUGCUGAUUCUAAGGAGUUAAUUAGAAACAAACAAAUCGAUCUGUCGCGGCAGGCUGUAUUUAUUUAUUCAAAAUCUAUCGAUGAGUUUGCCUGUGACUGAAGGUGUUAUCGCUCUGUCUCCUCUUUUUUCACCAGUCGAUCUGGCUCCUGUUAGCAAGGAAUUUGCUGGAGAUGUUUCUACUGUCUGUCUGCUAGUUAAACGGUAAAAUGUCGAAUGUCCUGCUAAACAUGGAUGCAGUAGAGAAAACCAGCAACGUUUAGUUCUUGAAAUGUUGUUGUUUUUCAGACACAAAAUGUUUUUUUGCUUCUUCUUGUAAAAUUACACAUGUACUUGAGCGCCAACACGCAUGCCUUAUUAAUUUACGGCUUUUUUAGAUACACUUGCUUACUAUUUAUUCAGGGUGCAGGUGUGUGGACAUAAAAUAAAAGGAGGAAACGAUGUUUUAGGAACCAGCAGACAUUCCCAGUCACUAAACAUAGGGGCAGGCUUUAAACUACUCAUGUUAUUGUUGAAAAACUUAACUCUAGCACUAGUCGGCAGGGAUUCGUGCUAGCCUGCGCCGAGGGCCGUGGUGGCACUAGGCCGUGUCGUUUCGUCCUUGACCGGCCGGUGGUAUCCAAUGCUUUGCAUGCCCCGGUGCCCCUGGCCCUGGCCCUGCCAUGAUCUUCGAGCUCAGCUGGGGCAGGGCAGGCUCAGGCAGUCAGGCUAGAUGCUCGGUCGGUCGGUCAGUGAUGUAGCUCAGAUCUCCAUGCUCAUCUAGAGAGUACCCGCAGAGCUGGUACCAAAGGAACAGUUUUCCUUUUGUUUACGCCGUUGCUGCGUACUUCCGUAUGUAUAAAAAAAAACAUUCCUUCCAUCCUAGACUUUUAUACAAAUUUAUUUUGGGAUGGAGUGAGCAUAAAAUUUGCGACAAGGACUGAGGGAGUACAAAAUUUGCGCUGACUUAACUUAGUACAAAAUGGACGGAAGGAGUAAUGUGGAACGGAUGACAAAUUUUUUGUAGAGAUGUCUGUAGCCUGCCGGAGGUACGCCUAGUUGAUUUUGAAGUGUUGAGUUCUGAAUUGUUUUAAAUAAAUUGAAGUGUAGAUGAAUCCUUACAAAAUCUCGUUUUGAUUUCGUCCAUGUAAAUGUGUAAUUACCACGUGUACAUGGAGAAGGGGAGACAGGAGAAGGGUACUGCAUGCCACGACUGUGGACUGUACACGAACCAUGCAUGCAUGCGUGCAGGAACAUGUGCACCCCCAUGAAUGCUCACAUUUGAAUGCUGAACGACCCCGCACCAAUGGAAAGUCAGGAACACACGUACACGGGGGACCCAUCCAUAGCACUAAAAAAUUGCACAGUACUAUAGUGAUAUUGUCUGAUUCGUGUGAAUCUCAAAGCAACGGUAGAUAUUUCAUCAGUUGGUCCCGGACCAGCAAUAAAAACGCUUCAAAUACUACACACACACGCAUGUUGCAACUUCACUCUUCACCUUGGAGUAAAAAAGAAAAAUCAACACUUUCGGAACGAAAAGAGCAACAUGUCGACGGUACGAGAGCUUGAUUGAAGCGGACGUACGCGGCUUACACUUUUGAAGCUGCGUACUCGUUCCAAACAAAAACAAAAAAAAGCAAGCCCGGGCUAACCCUUGGCUGGGCCUAUAAAUAGGCCCAAACCGCAAGCCCCUAAACCUCACCCAAUCUCAGUCAGUCUCCUCAUCUCUCUCACACACACACAUUUUCACCACCUCACUUGCCAGAGCAUCAACAAUGGCGUCCAUCUCGAAGCCCGUCCUGAUGCUGCUGCUCAUAGUCACAGCAGCGGCGGCCAUGGGCGGCGCGGCGGCGCAGGGCAGCCAGGCGACCUGCAACGGGCACAAGGUGACAGUGCAGAACCUGUGCGGGCACGACCUGAAGAUGGACGAGCUGACGCCGGUGGCGGACAGCAAGGUGCUGUUCCCGGCCGGGUGGGUGCUGCCAAACAACCAGCACGCCGAGUUCGCCGUGUGCGCCUGGACGGGCCGGCUGCGGGCCCCGGGCGCCGUGGAGGUGGACCUCCACCUGGGCCACGAAGGCGGGGCCUACUACUCCGUCAGCACGGCCCAGAACGGGAUGCCCGUCCGCGUCUCCGUCACCCCGCACGGCUCCCCGCUCCAGGGCCACUGCCCCACCGCCGGCUGCAACUCCGGCGGCCACUGCUUCGAGUACUCCGUCCCCGGGAACAAGUGCAGCGGCGUCACCGAGAUGAAGGUCGUCUACUACAGCCCCUAAGGCGUUCGAUCGGGCUUGUUUAAUUAGUGGAGUAAUCAAUAAGUUUGCAGCUCAAUCGUUCGUAUUAGUACUAGUUCAGAGUGAUUUGGAGCUGCAUGUGCCACUUGUUAUUGUACCGUCAGUGUCGUGUCGGAUUAAGCUAAAAAAAGUGUCAUGUCGGAUUAUUUGAAGUUCAACUGGCUUGUACGUACUGCUUACUACUUGUACGUACUACCGGAGAUGCAUGGGCUUAAUUAGUAGCCGUUGUGUGGAUGUCGUCACUCGUCAGCGUGGCCAACAAGUACUCAUCGAGAAAAUAAUUACUACGCGUUUACGCCUAAUCAAGUGCUACUAAUUCUAUCGGAGCUCCUGUUAGCACCAAGAAACAAUCUCCUGGAGAUGUUUUUAACUGUCUUAAAAUGUAAAAUGUUGUAUCAGAAACAUCAAAGCCACAAAAUGUCCUGCUAUUUAAACCUGAAUGUAGUACAAACUUAUGGCCUUUAUAAAAAAUAACAAAGUUUUAGUGCUUCAAAUGUUGUAUUCUAGGAGCACCAAAUAUUUUUAGUUUCCGUAUUAUAGAAAAAAUUCCUUCCUUUUCUUGUAAAUUUACACAUGGACUUGAGCUCCAACAUACAUAUGAUUAAUUUUUUUUUACGGGUUACUUUAAGAAUAUAUUUUACUGCUCUUUAUUCAGCAUGCAGACGUCGGCACAAAAAAGUAAAUGGAAAUGACGUUUUAGGAACCAGCAGAUAUUAUCCUCAGUCGACAAAUAUAGGGUAGGCUUAAACUAUACUCAUCAUACUAAUGUUGAAAAACUUAACUUGUCCGCAGAGUUUCGUGCUAGCCUGCCCGGCGGGCCGCGGUGCACUAGGCCGUGUCGUCUAGUCCUGCUCCGGCCGGUGGUAUCCUAUGCGAGCCCCGGUCUAUGAUCUUCGAGCUCAGCUGGGGCAGGGAAGGCCAGAGAAAAUUGCACAAACUACUCGUCGUUGUGAAUUUUGUUACGCAAAACUACCCGGUCUAUGGUUUAUGGCAAGGCCGAGAUGCCAUGUUGGCACUGAUUUGUGAGUUCCAUCUGUCAGAAACGUCGUUAACAUGAUAAAACUCAAAUUAACACUUAUGUACAACAGAUUAAGCGAAUAGCAGGCGUAUUACGCAAAAGAUAUGAAUAGUGCGUGUUUUUGGCGCAACAAGCCUCACGACGACGGUGGUUUGUGCGAUUUCGUCGGGAAGGCUCAGGCUAGAUGCUCGGCCGGUCAGUGCUGUAGCUCCGAUCUCCAUGCUCAUCUACAGAGUACGGCACCACUACUGCUCCUUCGUACGCGCAGGCCUGCUAACCAAGGAAAAAGAAAACGAUUUCCUUUUGUUUGCAUGCACAGCCGUUGCUGCCUACGAGAGUCCCUACCUAAUGUGCUUAAUUUGUUGUACCGAUGUCUGAAGCCUGCCCAGGAGAGAGGCCUAGAUGAUUUUGAAGUCUGGCUGAAGCUUUGAAAAUCUCGUUUUGAUUCCUGCCGUGUAAAUGUGCGUUACCACAUGUAUAUGGGAGAAGGGGAACAGCCAAACAGGCGUCGUGCAAUAAUUUCAAGAGGUAAACGUCCUUGCGUGCGACCCAUGCAUGCUCACAUUUGAAUCUAGACACACGUCGCAACUUCACUUUUCACUUUGCAGGUAAAAAGAUGCACACACACAUGCGCACUCUGGAAGUAUGCAUGGCACGGUGUGUACAGGGAUGCGUAAAAUGCAGCAUGCAGGCCACUACCGUUCACUGGACCACAAUGCACAACAACAAGCCACUCAAUUGGGCAGAGGGCUGGCCACCCACUCGAUCCAUGUGCCCGUAUGGCAACAGUAAUUAACAUGUCGCGUACAGUAGAAUAAUAAAAAGUGAGAGCAUAGUAUUCCCUCCGAACCUGGAGAGUCACGAACGCAUUUCAAAAUCAUCAAUUUAAAAACAUAUGAUUAAAAUAUUUAUUCGAUUACAAAUCAAAUGAUAUUUUUUUACGAAACAUAAUUUAUAUUUUGCUAAAUUUAUAAUUUAUAUCGAGACAGAGGGAGUAGUACGGACACGCGUUCCACAAGCUAGACCAACCAUAGGCUACACUACAACAAUCUUGAAGCUUCGUGUUAAGCCCUUGGGUGCGCCUAUAAAUAACCCCAAACCAUAGUCCCCUAAACCCCAUCCCAAUCCAGUCUUCUCAUCCCCUCUCUCUCACUCACACAAAGUCACUCACUCACUAGACAGUAGACACCAGCAAUGGCGUUCUCCAAGCCCCUUCUCCUGCUGCUGCUGAUAGCGGCGGCGGCCAUGAGCGCGGCGGCGCAGGGCGGCAGCCAGGCGACCUGCAACGGGCACAAGGUGACAGUGCAGAAUCUCUGCGGGCAGGAGCUGAGGAUGGAGUCGAUCCAGCCGGUGGCGGACAGCAAGGUGCUGUUCAACCCCGGUUGGGUUCUCCCCAACAACC
rnacentral:lncRNA from 1 species